GAUGAACGCUGGCGGCGUGCCUAAUACAUGCAAGUCGAGCGAACGGACGAGAAGCUUGCUUUUCUGAUGUUAGCGGCGGACGGGUGAGUAACACGUGGAUAACCUACCUAUAAGACUGGGAUAACUUCGGGAAACCGGAGCUAAUACCGGAUAAUAUUUUGAACCGCAUGGUUCAAAAGUGAAAGACGGUCUUGCUGUCACUUAUAGAUGGAUCCGCGCUGCAUUAGCUAGUUGGUAAGGUAACGGCUUACCAAGGCAACGAUGCAUAGCCGACCUGAGAGGGUGAUCGGCCACACUGGAACUGAGACACGGUCCAGACUCCUACGGGAGGCAGCAGUAGGGAAUCUUCCGCAAUGGGCGAAAGCCUGACGGAGCAACGCCGCGUGAGUGAUGAAGGUCUUCGGAUCGUAAAACUCUGUUAUUAGGGAAGAACAUAUGUGUAAGUAACUGUGCACAUCUUGACGGUACCUAAUCAGAAAGCCACGGCUAACUACGUGCCAGCAGCCGCGGUAAUACGUAGGUGGCAAGCGUUAUCCGGAAUUAUUGGGCGUAAAGCGCGCGUAGGCGGUUUUUUAAGUCUGAUGUGAAAGCCCACGGCUCAACCGUGGAGGGUCAUUGGAAACUGGAAAACUUGAGUGCAGAAGAGGAAAGUGGAAUUCCAUGUGUAGCGGUGAAAUGCGCAGAGAUAUGGAGGAACACCAGUGGCGAAGGCGACUUUCUGGUCUGUAACUGACGCUGAUGUGCGAAAGCGUGGGGAUCAAACAGGAUUAGAUACCCUGGUAGUCCACGCCGUAAACGAUGAGUGCUAAGUGUUAGGGGGUUUCCGCCCCUUAGUGCUGCAGCUAACGCAUUAAGCACUCCGCCUGGGGAGUACGACCGCAAGGUUGAAACUCAAAGGAAUUGACGGGGACCCGCACAGGCGGUGGAGCAUGUGGUUUAAUUCGAAGCAACGCGAAGAACCUUACCAAAUCUUGACAUCCUUUGACAACUCUAGAGAUAGAGCCUUCCCCUUCGGGGGACAAAGUGACAGGUGGUGCAUGGUUGUCGUCAGCUCGUGUCGUGAGAUGUUGGGUUAAGUCCCGCAACGAGCGCAACCCUUAAGCUUAGUUGCCAUCAUUAAGUUGGGCACUCUAAGUUGACUGCCGGUGACAAACCGGAGGAAGGUGGGGAUGACGUCAAAUCAUCAUGCCCCUUAUGAUUUGGGCUACACACGUGCUACAAUGGACAAUACAAAGGGCAGCGAAACCGCGAGGUCAAGCAAAUCCCAUAAAGUUGUUCUCAGUUCGGAUUGUAGUCUGCAACUCGACUACAUGAAGCUGGAAUCGCUAGUAAUCGUAGAUCAGCAUGCUACGGUGAAUACGUUCCCGGGUCU
rnacentral:rRNA from 1 species